AAUCCAUGUUGAGAGCAUUUUCACAGGAGCUCCUUGAACCUAUCCCUUGUCACAAAAAAAGACUCUAAUUCUGUUUGCACAAAAGAAGAUAUCUCAUUCCUAAGCUU